CCCUGCCAUUUGUACACACCGCCCGUCGCUACUACCGAUUGAAUGGUUUAGCAAGGUCUUCGGAUUGGCGCCUGACAGUUUCGACUGUCUUGGUGUCCGAGAAGAUGAUCAAACUUGAUCAUUUAGAGGAAGUA
rnacentral:rRNA from 1 species